rnacentral:rRNA from 1 species
GACGAACGCUGGCGGCGUGCUUAACACAUGCAAGUCGAACGGUGACGCGCCUUCCUCUUUGGCGGGUGUGGAUGAGUGGCGAACGGGUGAGUAACACGAGCGUAACCUGCUCCCUCCUUCUGGAUAACCGCAUGAAAGUGUGGCUAAUACGGGAUAUUCUGGGUCUGUCGCAUCAUGGGUUCGGGAAAGCUAUCGUUUCGGUGGGGGAUGGGCUCGCGGCCUAUCGGGUUGUUGGUGGGGUGAUGGCCUACCAAGGCGAUGACGAGUAGCCGGCAUGAGAGGGUGGGCGAUAACAGAGCUGCGAAGACGCGGCCCAGACUCCGAGGGGAAGCAGCAGGGGAGAUUAGUGCACAGUGGGCACAAUCCUGAUGCAGCAACGCGGCGUGGGAGAUGGAGUCCGGCUGGUUGAGAACCUCUGUCGCGAGUGAAGCAGGGCUGCCUCGUUUGUGGGUGGGUUGACGGUAGCUGGAGAAGAAGCGCCGGCUAACUACGUG